rnacentral:rRNA from 1 species
UACGGGGGGAGCAAGCGUUGUUCGGAUUUACUGGGCGUAAAGGGCGCGUAGGCGGCGCAACAAGUCACUUGUGAAAUCUCCGGGCUUAACCCGGAGCGGCCAAGUGAUACUGUCGUGCUAGAGUGCGGAAGGGGCUACUGGAAUUCUCGGUGUAGCGGUGAAAUGCGUAGAUAUCAGGAGGAACACCUGUGGCGAAAGCGGCUCACUGGACCACAACUGACGCUGAUGCACGAAAGCUAGGGGAGCAAACAGG